AUGGCGAUGGCGGCCGCCGAGAUGUUGUACUCUGUAAGGGACAUCCGCGAGAGAGUGAGACAGAACAGCCAGCGGUGUGACGCACACGCAUGGAACAAUCAACGUGUAUCCCAGAGCGCAUCUUUGGCCACGGGAGGCCGGCUGUCCUCCGUCACUGUGCGACUUAGGGAACCUACGUCAGCUCGUGAGCGCGUGUUCUGUAGACGUUGCAGAGAUUAUUGCGGCCCGUUUCUACACCAGCAGACGAGGCAAAGUUGGCUUUGCGGGAAAACACAAUGAUGCACAGCUGGAUCUGGACAGAAGCGGAACGGUGUGAUUUUGGGCAUCAUCACCCGCAGCUGUUUCGAGUGGCGCCUCCUAACCAUAAGUGACAGUUUUGGGAAACCAACCCUGAAAAGAGUCACAAAAAAAAAAAAUGUAGUGCCGUUUGAAAAGUAUAAAUAUUAUAUUGGUUAUUUGUGCUAAAAAUAGCGGGGGACCAGUUUGGGCAGCAUCUAUUAAUGAGACUUAACAAACUGCUUGAGAAUCCAGAAUUGUAUUGUUUGGCACAGUAACGGAAUAGAAAUGCAGCAGCUACUACAGAGCUAAUCAGACUUAAAUCUCAGACGGAGGAAGAAUUGAUGAUUUCUAAUUAAAAUGUCGAGCAUGCAGACAUCAAUGUCCCGCAUUGAUUCAUCGAGUCACCUCCACUGCAGACGGGGAA